rnacentral:rRNA from 1 species
CCUACGGGUGGCAGCAGUGGGGAAUAUUGCGCAAUGGGCGAAAGCCUGACGCAGCGACGCCGCGUGAGGGAUGAAGGUCUUCGGAUCGUAAACCUCUGUCAGCAGGGAAGAACGGUCACUGUGCUAAUCAGCAGUGAAUUGACGGUACCUGCAAAGGAAGCACCGGCUCACUCCGUGCCAGCAGCCGCGGUAAUACGGAGGGUGCGAGCGUUAAUCGGAAUUACUGGGCGUAAAGCGUUCGUAGGCGGUAUGUCAAGUCAAGGGUGAAAUCCCCGGGCUCAACGUGGGAACUGCCUUUGAAACUGGGAAACUGGAGUGUGUGAGAGGGUAGUGGAAUUCGAGGUGUAGGAGUGAAAUGCGUAGAUAUCUGGAGGAACAUCAGUGGCGAAGGCGACUAUCUGGCACAUAACUGACGCUGAGGAGCGAAGGCGUGGGUAGCAAACAGGAUUAGAUACCCUUGUAGUC